rnacentral:ncRNA from 1 species
ACGCCCUUUACCUCCUCCUCGAAGGUAAAUAGGGCAGGUAUCAGGCACACCUCGCCCAUAACACCUAGCCACGCCACCCCCACAAGGGCCCUCAGCAGUGACCAAUAUUGUUUAUAAACGCAAGUUUGACCCAGUUAGAGAAUAAAGAGCUGGCAAAGCUGGUGCCAGCCGCCGCGGUUACACCAUAUAGCUCAAAUUGAUUUUCACCGGCGUAAAGCGUGAUUAAAGACCCCCCCCCCGACUAGGGUACAACUCAGACCCCAACGUAAAAACCCCGUCUGUAAGAAUCCCCAAAACGAAAGUUACCCUACAACACUUGAAUUCACGACAGUUAGAACACAAACUGGGAUUAGAUACCCCACUAUGCUAACCGUAAACCUUACUACUCCUUCCCCGCCAGGGAACUACGAGCAAAGCUUAAAACCCAAAGGACUUGACGGUGCCCCACAUCCCCCUAGAGGAGCCUGUCCAUAACUGAUGAUCCCCACUAAACCUCACCAUUUUUAGCUAAUCAGCCUGUAUACUUCCGUCCCCGGCCUACCACGUGAGCGACAAUAAGUAGGCCCAACGUCUUACAAAAUACGUCAGGUCGAAGUGCAGCUAAUAAAAUGGGAAAGAUGGGCUACACUCUCUGAAACAGAGAAUACGAAAGACAAUAAUGAAACUUAUGUCAGAAGGUGGAUUUAGUAGUAAAAGGAAAAUAGAGUGUCCCUUUUAACUUAGCACUGGGGCGUGUACACACCGCCCGUCACCCUCUUCGAACCGCAACUAAAAGUUUUUAACACCAAUGCACAUAUGAGAAGAGGCAAGUCGUAACAUGGUAAGUGUACCGGAAGGUGCACUUGGAAU